CGUGCAUCGUACAGUACGUACUAUCAAUAAUACUGGAUUUGAAGAUCCGCACAAUAUAUUGUAGGUAGAUGGGUACUCGAGACCACUCGAAACGAACGAGAAGGAACUGCAGUAUUUGACCGACAAUUUCUCGCACUCGACGAGGUCAUAUUAUAAUAUUAUAUACUUGAAUAUGUUCGUAAACAAUAAGUAUAAAAUUAUUAUGUGGAGUCCGUUUUUCGUUUCACUGACAACGCGUUAACUUAAUGUUGUAAUGCCGUAUUAUCAUUUGUCGUUAUAUUAUAUCGUCAAAAACGAUAAUUAUUGAAAAAAAAAAGAAUUGUUCAUACGUGAAAAA